AUUUUCUGUUACAAAUAAACGUUUAAUUUAAAUUGUAUAUUAGCAUACGAGAUAUAGAUUUUUUUAAACCUAUUUUAAUGACUUUUUUAUCAUAUUGUGCUGUGCGUCUUGAUUUAAAAAAAAAGUUUUUCAGGUGAUGUGUAAAUAAUAUUAAGUAGAAUGCAUGUUUUAAAAGAUACUGUGUGAAUUUGGUAAAAUUUGUGCACUAUAAUCUGAGUUGUCCAUUCAAAACAAAAAGCACUUGUCUUGCUUUCUAUUUGUGUACGUUACUGUCAUUGUCUUAUUUUACAGAAAUGGUUGCUGUUAAAAGUUACUCAUCGGUUUCAUUCAAUAUUCAUUUUGUGUAUCUUACUGUAGUGUGUGUGUGUGUGUGUACACACACACACACACACACACACACACACACACACACUAUAUUUCUAUUUCAUUAUUCCAGAUAUUCAGUCUAUUUCUUGUUUGAUCAAAACCCAUGGUCCCAAAGAUAAGUAGGCUGUAUUUUAAAGACAAUUAUACAAUUGUAUUAUAUUAUUUGAAUAAAAUGUGAUGCAAAGCUACCAUUGUAAACUAACAUUUAUCCCUCACAAGCAGAUGUCAUAAUGUGGUGUGGACAGACAGACAGCAACAGUUUAACAGGGCAGGCGUGUAUUCAGAUGCCUGUAGCAAUACUUAACAGAAUCACCACAGGUGACAGGCAUAUGCUGUCUUCCAACACCAUUUCGAUACGUCGGCUUUUAGUUGCUACGGAGCUCGUUUGUUACUAUGGGAACAGUUUCGCAAAUACCACAAGCCUAACUGCAUUUUGAUUGUGGAAUCGAGCACACUUGGUUGGUUAGGUUUUUUAUUUUUUAAUUUCUCAAAAGUUUGAAAAUAUUGGCGCAUAAGGAUGUCAAAGAAUCAGUGGGGGACUAUUACACCUGCCCCUUUCCCACUGGGCUACCAAACAAUGAACAGCUAUGAAAUACAACAGGUUACAGAACGAUUGCACAAAAAUGACAAGUGCAAGCAAUGCAUUCCAGCAGUCCCCAGUGGCAACAAUGCGCACUGCAGGAAACUGAAGCAUGAAGAAUUGGAACAGCUGACUCGACGACUUACAAAAAACUCAGCGGCGAAAGCCGCAGACCAGAAGAGAAUCCCGCAAGGGAAAAUGAAGGAAAUUGGAAUUAUAAACUCGUUUGCUUGGAAAGGUUGGAACUGAAGAACUGAACUAGGAACUAUCAGGUUGACAUGUCAUGACUUGUGAGGAGCACAGUCCAAGCUUUUGUUAAACUGCACAGGUUAUUAUUUUAUCAUCAAGUAAAAUUGAUUUGCUGAUCCCUGUGCUUUGAAACGCAUGUAAAGGUGUCUAAGACAUCAUGUUAGUAUUUAAGGUUAUGUUUGGUUUGUUUUUCUUAGGACCCAUCAUGUUAAUUAGCAUGCAUUUUUAAAAUUGACUGUAUAAUAUUAAAAGACCAAUAUGCAUGA